GACUCCACUCCAAACUACUCCGUCCAAGAAUACAAGGCUCGCCCAGUUCCCAGUCACAGGGCUUUCUUUUGGGGGAGGAGCAGGAUGUCAGUAUUCUUCAUUCUGCUCCCAGUGUGCCAGCCAUGGGUAUGGCCAAGUCUUCUCUUCCUUCAGUGGCACAUGUUCUCAGGAAAGUGGUUGGCUGGCCUCCUCCUUCUGCAGCACUUUUGGAUCUGACAGCAUUCCUGCCACCACCACUCUUCCCAGGCUGUUGCAACAUCUGACUGGAUGCACGGAACUCCUACAGCCUGGCCAUGUCUGUGUCAUGUUGAACUCUGAUGGGUUCCUGUUGGUCUUGGGCUACCUACUACUCUGCAGUCUGAGGCUUUAACCACACAGUCCUGCAUUUUUUCUCUUCACACAUCUCAGACUCAUAUUACUGCCUGAAGGUAUUUCUGGCUUACCCCUGCCUCUACUAUUUAUUCUUCAUAAGUAUUUACUCAAUAGGUCUCUUUCAUGGAUAAUUCCAUUUUGGUACCUAAUGGUCAGAGGAC
rnacentral:lncRNA from 1 species